GAUGAACGCUGGCGGCGUGCUUAACACAUGCAAGUCGAACGAACCUUCGGGUUAGUGGCGGACGGGUGAGUAACGCGUGAGAAUCUGCCCUCAGGACGGGGGAUAACGGUUGGAAACGACCGCUAAUAACCCCCAUAUGCCGCGAGGUGAAAUGAAUUUCGCCUGAGGAUGAGCUCGCGUCUGAUUAGUUAGUUGGUGGGGUAAAGGCCUACCAAGACAUCGAUCAGUAGCUGGUCUGAGAGGAUGAUCAGCCACACUGGGACUGAGACACGGCCCAGACUCCUACGGGAGGCAGCAGUGGGGAAUUUUCCGCAAUGGGCGAAAGCCUGACGGAGCAACGCCGCGUGAGGGAUGAAGGCCUCUGGGCUGUAAACCUCUUUUAUCAAGGAAGAAGAUCUGACGGUACUUGAUGAAUAAGCCACGGCUAAUUCCGUG
rnacentral:rRNA from 1 species